rnacentral:rRNA from 1 species
CCUACGGGUUGCACCAGUGGGGAAUAUUGCACAAUGGGCGCAAGCCUGAUGCAGCCAUGCCGCGUGUAUGAAGAAGGCCUUAGGGUUGUAAAGUACUUUCAGUUGGGAGGAAGGCGUUGAUGCUAAUGUCAUCAGCGAUUGACGUUACCAACAGAAGAAGCACCGGCUAACUCCGUGCCAGCAGCCGCUGUAAUACGGAGGGUGCAAGCGUUAAUCGGAAUUACUGGGCGUAAAGCGCACGCAGGCGGUUGAUUAAGUUAGAUGUGAAAUCCCCGGGCUUAACCUGGGAAUGGCAUCUAAGACUGGUCAGCUAGAGUCUUGUAGAGGGGGGUAGAAUUCUAUGUGUAGCGGUGAAAUGCGUAGAGAUGUGGAGGAAUACCGGUGGCGAAGGCGGCCCCCUGGACAAAGACUGACGCUCAGGUGCGAAAGCGUGGGGAGCAAACAGGAUUAGAUACCCGGGUAGUC